rnacentral:rRNA from 1 species
GAUGAACGCUGGCGGCGUGCUUUCACAUGCAAGUCGAACGAACCUUCGGGUUAGUGGCGGACGGGUGAGUAACGCGUGAGAAUCUGCCCUCAGGAGGGGGAUAACGGCUGGAAACGGCCGCUAAUACCCCAUAUGCCGAGAGGUGAAAUGAAUUUCGCCUGAGGAUGAGCCCGCGUCUGAUUAGCUAGUUGGUGAGGUAAGAGCUCACCAAGGCAUCGAUCAGUAGCUGGUCUGAGAGGAUGAUCAGCCACACUGGGACUGAGACACGGCCCAGACUCCUACGGGAGGCAGCAGUGGGGAAUAUUGGACAAUGGAGGCAACUCUGAUCCAGCAAUGCCGCGUGUGUGAUGAAGGCCUUAGGGUUGUAAAGCACUUUCAACGGUGAAGAUGAUGACGGUAGCCGUAGAAGAAGCCCCGGCUAACUUCGUG